GUGGGGAAUAUUGGACAAUGGGCGCAAGCCUGAUCCAGCCAUGCCGCGUGUGUGAAGAAGGCCUUCGGGUUGUAAAGCACUUUUGUUGGGAAAGAAAUCCUGUCGGCUAAUACCCGGCGGGGAUGACGGUACCCAAAGAAUAAGCACCGGCUAACUUCGUGCCAGCAGCCGCGGUAAUACGAAGGGUGCAAGCGUUACUCGGAAUUACUGGGCGUAAAGCGUGCGUAGGUGGUUCGUUAAGUCAGAUGUGAAAGCCCCGGGCUCAACCUGGGAAUUGCAUUUGAUACUGGCGGACUAGAGUGCGGUAGAGGAGAGUGGAAUUCCCGGUGUAGCAGUGAAAUGCGUAGAGAUCGGGAGGAACAUCAGUUGCGAAGGCGGCUCUCUGGACCAGCACUGACACUGAGGCACGAAAGCGUGGGGAGCAAACAGGAUUAGAUACCCUAGUAGUCC
rnacentral:rRNA from 1 species